UACGGAGGGGGCUAGCGUUGUUCGGAAUUACUGGGCGUAAAGCGCGCGUAGGCGGCUUUGUAAGUCAGAGGUGAAAGCCUGGAGCUCAACUCCAGAACUGCCUUUGAAACUACAUCGCUAGAAUCAUGGAGAGGUUAGUGGAAUUCCGAGUGUAGAGGUGAAAUUCGUAGAUAUUCGGAAGAACACCAGUGGCGAAGGCGGCCUGCUGGGACAUGGCUGACGCUGAGGCGCGACAGCGUGGGGAGCAAACAGG
rnacentral:rRNA from 1 species